UCCAGAGGCCUCGAUCGUUAGGCGGAAUCACUGGGCUUAAAGCGUGUGUAGGCGGAUGCCUAAGUGCCUUGUGAAAUCCCACGGCUUAACCGUGGAAAUGCUUGGCAUACUGGGUGUCUUGAGCAGCCUAGGGGCGAGCGGAACAGAUGGUGGAGCGGUGAAAUGCGUAGAUAUCAUCUGGAACGCCAAUGGUGAAGACAGCUCGCUGGGGGCUCGCUGACGCUGAGACACGAAAGCCAGGGGAGAGAACGGG
rnacentral:rRNA from 1 species